CCCGAGUGCUUGCACUCAAUUGGAAAGAGGAGUGGCGGACGGGUGAGUAACACGUGGGUAACCUACCCAUCAGAGGGGGAUAACACUUGGAAACAGGUGCUAAUACCGCAUAACAGUUUAUGCCGCAUGGCAUAAGAGUGAAAGGCGCUUUCGGGUGUCGCUGAUGGAUGGACCCGCGGUGCAUUAGCUAGUUGGUGAGGUAACGGCUCACCAAGGCCACGAUGCAUAGCCGACCUGAGAGGGUGAUCGGCCACACUGGGACUGAGACACGGCCCAGACUCCUACGGGAGGCAGCAGUAGGGAAUCUUCGGCAAUGGACGAAAGUCUGACCGAGCAACGCCGCGUGAGUGAAGAAGGUUUUCGGAUCGUAAAACUCUGUUGUUAGAGAAGAACAAGGACGUUAGUAACUGAACGUCCCCUGACGGUAUCUAACCAGAAAGCCACGGCUAACUACGUGCCAGCAGCCGCGGUAAUACGUAGGUGGCAAGCGUUGUCCGGAUUUAUUGGGCGUAAAGCGAGCGCAGGCGGUUUCUUAAGUCUGAUGUGAAAGCCCCCGGCUCAACCGGGGAGGGUCAUUGGAAACUGGGAGACUUGAGUGCAGAAGAGGAGAGUGGAAUUCCAUGGGUAAACCGGU
rnacentral:rRNA from 1 species